rnacentral:misc_RNA from 1 species
GGCUAUUUCAUAUAUUGUAUAGAAUGAAGUAAUUGGUACAACAAGAAUUUUCUUAUUAUACGAUUAUGAGCAAAUUCUCUUUCAAAAGUAUCAACGUUGUCAAUAAGAAAACCGAAUGGUUCAUGGAUACACUACUGAGUUAACGAGACUAACUAAGAGGAAUAACCUUCAUGAAUCAGUAAGGUAACAAUUUGCAAGGUAUUUUUGGAAGGAUUGAAAUCUGCAAUCAAAUACCAAACUGGUGUUGAAGUGCUCAGGACCUUGUCUGAGGCAAAGGUUGAAGGCGAAAAUGAUGAAGUACGAAAAGAAUUUAUGGCAUGAGCUGACGACAGUCGUGCACCGAGGCACCAUUUUCUUUCAAGAGGCGAUCAAAGACUAGAACUUAAUUUCUUACAAGCUAAAUCCCUUUCCAAAGCAAUUUGUUGCCUUUGGAAAUCGAUAGACUUUAAACGAAAUGUAUAAGAUUCAGGAUCUUGUUUUCUUAAUCUUGGUGAAGCUCUAGCGGAGGCAAGGAUCCCAAUCGGGUAGAAUUGUCAUAAUCUUGAGGAAUAUGAGCUGAUAAUCCUGGAAUUGCCAAGCCUGUUAUCCUAAACAGUGUCAUAAACCAACUUUCUCCAUAGUUCCGACCUUUCACGCAAGGGAUAAUAAAACUCCUGAUUAGCUCCCAAGCAGCAUUCAAGUUCUUAGGUAUGGCCCAAAACAAAUUGAAGUAAUUCUUGUUCGGCUCUUCCCACAAAACCUUCCCUUGAUACAAGCUAUUGUAGUAGAGGCAAGGCCCAAAGUGCUUAUACAAGAGAGAUGCAUCAUCAUAGGGCAAUCUAGGCACCAUAUCAUUGCAAUAAACAUACCUCAAAUAUCUCACAUCAUUCUCUUUCAACUUAUCUUGCAUGAAAUUCCCAAACUGCCUGUCACCAACUCUUGGCUGCCCAAAUGUGUAGACCCCUUCCAUUCUGUCCAGUAACCAAGCCUCUUUGUGUAUAGCUAACACAGCCACAAACAAUAUUGCCAGUGCUCCACCCAAGCUAUGCCCUGUCACUAUAAAUUUAGCCUUUUCAUUCUUGCUUAAUAUAUCUCUCAGCAUUCUUCUGAUCUCGUAGUAUGCAUAUAAAUGUUCACUGCCUAGUGAAAUUUCCUUUGGCCACCCAUCCUUCUGUAGGCCUAGUGCUUUCAUAAAGCCACGGUGGAUCUUACCAACGCCUUGAAGCUCGUACCAGGAGAUAUCAACAUCUGUGCACCAUGCAUAUGCAUCAAAUGGGUUGGUGCCUCUGAAUGCCACCACUAUAUGGUUCACGUCAGUGUCCUUGUCUUGAAGCAUGAAGGCUUGCGUUGAGGGUAGCCUCUGG